rnacentral:lncRNA from 1 species
GUACAUCCAAUCUCUCCCUCACAGAAAACUCUCCCUUUUAAAAGCUCUCUCUCUAGAAGGAUUUCUUGAACCUCUAAAGCGACUGCUGUCCGUCGUCCAACAGUCUCCCUGGAGCCUCUGCUCCUGCUUCUGUCGGUGCGAUACUUCUGUUCACUGGAUUUUCUCCUGAACAAAGCCGUAAACACCAUGCCUUUCUCUGUUCACGGAACAGGGCUUUUAAAGCCUUAAAUCUGUGAAACAACAGGAAUAGAGACUCCUCUUAACACCC